GUGGGGAAUUUUGGACAAUGGGCGAAAGCCUGAUCCAGCCAUGCCGCGUGCAGGAUGAAGGCCUUCGGGUUGUAAACUGCUUUUGUACGGAACGAAAGGACUCCUUCUAAUAAAGGGGGUCCAUGACGGUACCGUAAGAAUAAGCACCGGCUAACUACGUGCCAGCAGCCGCGGUAAUACGUAGGGUGCAAGCGUUAAUCGGAAUUACUGGGCGUAAAGCGUGCGCAGGCGGUUAUAUAAGACAGAUGUGAAAUCCCCGGGUUCAACCUGGGAACUGCAUUUGUGACUGUAUAGCUAGAGUACGGUAGAGGGGGAUGGAAUUCCGCGUGUAGCAGUGAAAUGCGUAGAUAUGCGGAGGAACACCGAUGGCGAAGGCAAUCCCCUGGACCUGUACUGACGCUCAUGCACGAAAGCGUGGGGAGCAAACAGGAUUAGAUACCCUAGUAGUCC
rnacentral:rRNA from 1 species